CGGUGUGUAGCGCAGUUAGGUAGCGCACUUGUCUUGGGAACAAGGGGUCGUAGGUUCAAAUCCUGUCACACCGACCA
rnacentral:tRNA from 1 species